CAGUGCACGCAUGCAUUGAGUGGCUCGACUGCUCUCUC
rnacentral:ribozyme from 1 species